GCCCGUGUAGCUCAGUUGGUAGAGCAGGUGACUCUUAAUCACUUGGUCGGGGGUUCGAAUCCUCCCGCGGGCACGA
rnacentral:tRNA from 1 species